rnacentral:tRNA from 1 species
GCCGCCGUAGUAUAGCCCGGCCAAGUAUGCGGGCCUUUCGAGCCCGUGACCCGGGUUCAAAUCCCGGCGGCGGCACCA